GGGGGCAUAGCGUCGUUUGGAAACGUACCAUCUUGUGGUGGUGAAGAUUGUGGGUUCAAAUCCCACUGCUCAAA
rnacentral:tRNA from 1 species